AUGAUCAAAAAUGCCCAGAAAAACAAUCUUAUUAUAGGUUUGGCUCCUGAUUUGGUUCAUAAUGGAGUCGCGGUCUUGCAAUACGCGGAUGACACGAUCAUUUGCUUAGAACAUGAUUUGGAAAAAGAUGUGAACUUAAAACUUCUCCUGUACACUUUCCAAAUGAUGUCUGGGCUCAAAGUUAAUUUCCAUAAAAGCGAGAUUCUCACUGUUGGGGGAGAUGAUCAUAUUAAUAAAGCUUAUGCAGAUCUAUUUAACUGUGAUAUUGGUCAUUUCCCUCUUAAGUACUUAGGGAUGCCUGUCAGUUUUACUACCCUAAAAAAUUCUGACUGGGAGUUUAUUGUUGAUAAAUACUUAGUCAGAUUUGAUGCCUGGGUUGGUAAUGCGGCGUCCAUGGGAGGGAGACACACCCUGUUGGACAUGGUGGUCACCCAAAUCUCCCUGUAUCACAUGUCCAUGUGGCUGAUGAAUAAAAAUUUCGUGGAAAAGCUUGAUAAACAUAGGAGGAGGUUUUUCUAG
rnacentral:rRNA from 1 species